rnacentral:rRNA from 1 species
AUACGGAGGGGGCAAGCGUUGUUCGGAAUUAUUGGGCGUAAAGGGCACGUAGGCGGUCAAGUAAGUUGGUGGUGAAAGCCCUCGGCUCAACCGGGGAAUUGCCCUCAAAACUGCUUGACUUGAGUCCCGGAGAGGGUGGCGGAAUUCCCAGUGUAGCGGUGAAAUGCGUAGAUAUUGGGAGGAACACCAGUGGCGAAGGCGGUCACCUGGACGGGUACUGACGCUGAGGUGCGAAAGCGUGGGGAGCAAACAGGAUUAGAAACCCCAGUAGUCC